ensembl:lncRNA
GUGAAAUUACUUAUGACUAUGGUGGGAAAGAAUGGCCCUGGCGGAAAAAGCUAAAGAUCGCAAGCAUCCCUUCUGGUCAACAGUGUGUUGCAGAGCCUAUUGCCCAUGACGUGGAGCACCAUGUGAUCUCUACAGACUCAUUCACAGACAGAGAAUUAAGAGCAGAGUGUCAGUCAUCUAGACCUACAGCAGACAACUCUGAGCAUGAGGUGCAUUCUGUUGGAGGUCAGCGUGGCACUUCUUCUCUGAAAGAGUUAAUUGGUGAAGUUGGUGUCCAGUAUCAGGAGUUGUCACCCCAAGCAUUCUCAGAAGAACUUACCAGUGAAAGCAAAUCGAAAGAGGUGCCACAAUCAUCCAGAGCUGUGCCUAAUGACUCUGCUUGUGAGCUAAAGAUCGCAAGCAUCCCUUCUGGUCAACAGUGUGUUGCAGAGCCUAUUGCCCAUGACGUGGAGCACCAUGUGAUCUCUACAGACUCAUUCACAGACAGAGAAUUAAGAGCAGAGUGUCAGUCAUCUAGACCUACAGCAGACAACUCUGAGCAUGAGGUGCAUUCUGUUGGAGGUCAGCGUGGCACUUCUUCUCUGAAAGAGUUAAUUGGUGAAGUUGGUGUCCAGUAUCAGGAGUUGUCACCCCAAGCGUUCUCAGAAGAACUUACCAGUGAGAGCAAAUCGAAAGAGGUGCCACAAUCAUCCAGAGCUGUGCCUAAUGACUCUGCUUGUGAGUGUACAAUUCAUAGGCUGGUAUUUGAAUCGGUGAAACUUGACAAAUGCGGGAUAUGCCAUUCACCUUUGACAGCUAUCAGAUGGCACGGUCUAAGAUGCAAGCAAUGCCGUUGUGUGUGGCAUAAGAUCUGCCUCCAGACAUCUUCAGAAGACUGGGAUAUGUCCGACGUGAAGAGCCCGAGGCUGGUGACAGUCCAGUUCUACUCCAAGUACAUCCUUACGGUGGCUCACAGGACAAGGCUACAUUCCUGUCCUGCCAGAAGAGAAGAGAAACUUCAGAGUCUUCAUGCAGUUCAACCACACCUGUCAUAUUCCGUAUGACAGGGGUCUCAAACUCCAGUCCUCGAGGGCCGGUGUCAUGCAACUUUUCCAUGUGUCCCUGGUGCAACACACCUGAAUACAAUUAGUAGGUUAUUAGCAAGAGUAUAGAACUUGACUGCAUGCUGAGGUGGCAACCCCUAACCCUACCUACCUACUCAAGUAAAUGUAUUUGGAAACAUGUACUUCUAAAAUACUUUUAUUGCACCAUGUUCAUUCACUCAUGAGCUGCUGUAACGUGAAUCAAAUGGCUGAAUUGCCAACUCAGCAUGCAUUCAAGUUCUAUACUCUUGCUAAUGAUCUACUAGGUGUGUUGCAAAAGUUGCAGGACAGCGGCCCUCGAGGACUGGAGUUUGAGACCCCUGCCGUAUGGUGUUCAUGCAGUUUUCUACCCCACAGUUACAGCAUGUCUGAUUGCCUGUUCAGCAUAUGCAAAAAUAUAUGAUGAGUUUAAGCAUGUGAUGACAAAGGCCUUCCAUUAUGGUGUUUGUCAUCACGUCACAGACAUCUGGAUGAUCAUUUGGAAUAAACAAAAAACUAAAAACUUG